rnacentral:tRNA from 1 species
UUGGUUGAAACCAAAAAGAGGUGUAUCACUGUUAAUGAUAAUAUUGAAAUUUAAUUUCCAAUCAAG